rnacentral:rRNA from 1 species
UGGGGAAUAUUGCACAAUGGGCGCAAGCCUGAUGCAGCCAUGCCGCGUGUGUGAAGAAGGCCUUCGGGUUGUAAAGCACUUUCAGCGAGGAGGAAGGUGGUGAGCUUAAUACGCUCAUCAAUUGACGUUACUCGCAGAAGAAGCACCGGCUAACUCCGUGCCAGCAGCCGCGGUAAUACGGAGGGUGCAAGCGUUAAUCGGAAUUACUGGGCGUAAAGCGCACGCAGGCGGUUUGUUAAGUCAGAUGUGAAAUCCCCGGGCUCAACCUGGGAACUGCAUUUGAAACUGGCAAGCUAGAGUCUCGUAGAGGGGGGUAGAAUUCCAGGUGUAGCGGUGAAAUGCGUAGAGAUCUGGAGGAAUACCGGUGGCGAAGGCGGCCCCCCUGGACGAAGACUGACGCUCAGGUGCGAAAGCGUGGGGCAGCAAACAGGAUUAGAUACCCUGGUAGUCCACGCUGUAAACGAUGUCGAUUUGGAGGUUGUGCCCCUUGAGGCGUGGCUUCCGGAGCUAACG